UUGAGGUUUAUUCUCGCAUCCGCUGUCUAGCGUUGAUAGCGUUGUUCAUUCUUAUACUUACAAUGUGAAGGAACUAAAAUUCAUCUUCAGUCGAACAGAGUGUGAUAACCUUGGCCAAGCGCCUUCCUUCUUGUUGACUGUGCAGUUUUCUGGUGGAUUUCAGUUGUAAUAAUCGGGAAUCAUGAGAAUAAGGUCAUGGUUUUAUUGGAUUGCAUUAGCUUACGGAUUACUAGAAGCACAUGCCCAGUCCGGUCAACGAGAUGUAGAAGCAUAUGAUGCAGCAAAUAAUAGAUGGGAAGUGGUUCGCUUUUGGAUUCGACCACAAUCGACGCAACCUACCGGAGAAGCACAGCCGAAUACAUCAGAUGAAUCAAGCCAUACUAGUCAGAAUACUCGAAAAGGCCAUGAGAAGAUAAUUAAAGUGUUCGAUCCCAGUACAUCUUCAUGGAUAGAAAAGAAGUUCUAUUUCUGAGAUACAUUAUGAUCAGGAAUUAUUAUUUUGUUGGUGUUCCACAAAAAUAGAAAACAAAGGAAACAGUGUAUAAACCUUUUUUUGUAUUUAUUAUGAAGACUUACAGCACUAAGCUGGCUCGUCACUAUAGUGUAUAAACGUGUUGUUCAUCAGCUUAUUUGAAGUACAUAGACAUUUCCAUGUACUUAAGCUUAAAUUCUCUCGUAAAGUCAUAUGGUUUGUUACAAAAUAGUGAAGUGAGUGAAUAGCACUCUGUUGGAAUGGUUCCGAUCGUAUCUCUUCGGCCACUGGCUAACCGGUGCUGUCGGCGACUGCAGAUCUGAUUCCUUCGUACUAAUUCGGCCAAAUGUUCGACGAGAACUUUUUAUCGGAUAAAAAAUCCUGUUAGAUUCGACUACACGCUUUUGAAUACCAUCAUAGAAUGUCUGACUCAUGUCAAAGACUUGGGCAUAAUUCUGGAUUCUCAACUGCAUGCACAUCUCGUACGUUGUAGGUAAGGCUUCCAAACCCCGGGGCUUUAUCUUUCGUAUAGAUGAAGAAUUUACUGACAUUUCCUGUCUAAAGUCUCUGUACUGCUCACUGGUGCGGUCGUUACUGGAGUAUUGCUCCGCUGUUUGGAAUCUCAAUUAUAUGAACGAUACAGAACGAGUUGAUUCUGUGCAACGAUUUGCACUGCGUAGACUACCGUGGAGAGAUCCAUUACGUCUGCCUGCCAAGUUAUGAAAGACGCUACCGGCUUAUCGAUUUGGACCAACAAAGGAAUAAUCGUAACACCGCUCGGGAUGUACUCGUUGCAGAUUUUUUGCAAGGCCGAAUAGAUUGUAGUAAUAUUUUGGAGCAGAAUAAUAUUUUAAAACAUUAAAAAGUACGGCCGAGAGCACUUCGAAAUAACGCUAUGUUAAGAAUGACGAUUCUUAUCAAGAAUCUGUUAAUCACGUGUUAUUGUACGUAGUCUAAAUACCCUGUAUGUUUCUUAUCUUUGGGUUUUUAACCUGACAUACGAAAAUAAUAAAUACGGAUUUGUA